rnacentral:rRNA from 1 species
UACGUAGGGAGCAAGCGUUGUCCGGAAUCAUUGGGGCGUAAAGAGCGCGUAGGUGGCUUUAUAAGUCCGUUGUGAAAGUCAAAGGCUCAACCUUUGAAAGCCGAUGGAUACUGUGAAGCUAGAGUACGGAAGAGGCGAGUGGAAUUCCUGGUGUAGCGGUGGAAUGCGCAGAUAUCAGGAGGAACACCAAUAGCGAAGGCAGCUCGCUGGGACGUUACUGACACUGAGGCGCGAAAGCGUGGGGAGCGAACAGG